rnacentral:rRNA from 1 species
UACGUAGGGGGCAAGCGUUGUCCGGAUUUAUUGGGCGUAAAGAGCGUGUAGGCGGCUUUACAGGUCCGUUGUGAAAACUCGAGGCUCAACCUCGAGACGCCGGUGGAAACCGUAAGGCUAGAGUCCGGAAGAGGAGAGUGGAAUUCCUGGUGUAGCGGUGAAAUGCGCAGAUAUCAGGAAGAACACCCGUGGCGAAGGCGGCUCUCUGGGACGGUACUGACGCUGAUGCGCGAAAGCGUGGGGAGCAAACGGGG